UGACGCGAUGCCUCUCCCAGGUUGAUACACACAGCUGCAUUGACACCAAAUUCUCAUUCCCUGCCCGGUGUGGAGUGUGUCGGUACAACCGGCCGUGUCCUCCAGAUAGUCAGGAAAUUUUUGCGGCUCCUGCUUCACCUUUCUUCGCAUUUCUUCCGUCCACCUGCAUCCCUGCUGCUCGUCCGGGUAGCCUUCGUCCUUAGCUUGACAGAUCGUCCGCGACGACGUUCACCUGGCCCUUCCUAUACGAAAUUGUACCCACCUUAUGAUUCUUCCGAACGGACUCUCGAUGCCAUGGCUCUUCAGCCAUUUCGCGGUCGUGGGAUCCGUUAUCACUUUAAUGUGCUUACCCUCCAGGUAGGGUCUUAAUUUUGAGUUUUUUGCGUUGCCUGCUUUGAAACGCCAGACCUACUGGUAUCGUUAGGCUCUCGUUAGGAAAUCCCAACCCAGCACACAGCCGCCAUUAUGUUGUGGAGGACGAGCAUUCUCUAUCCGAGUCCUAUAUCUACUUCGAUCAGCGAUGUGACCUCCCCACACCGUCCAUCUGCCAUCCGCACUUCUUUCCUAGUGGGUACAGAUCGUACCCACUCCAGCCGUUUUAUUCCCCUCUUGGGAAUUCCCGCUUGUGGCGGGCCCUAUGAGUCCGCUCCUAAUCGAACCGUUCCCUUUGGGUGUCCAGCGCUUCGAAUUCAUCCCCAAGGGUCGCAUUAGGGUCUGCAUGUCCACUUUGUAAUCUUUACAAAGUCCAUAUUUCAUUGCUGAGCACUCCACAUGUUCCAGAAAUUCCAAAAGCUUUUCGUGCCCAUCGUAACGAAAGCUUUAUUUUCGCACAUGAUUCGACUUUGCGUAAUCUUACGGGGCUGCUGUCGUGAUAUCCCGACGAUCACGCCUGGAUUCCCGCCUCUCCCUUCUCUUGCGGCUGCCUUCCCAUUGUUAAUGUCCGAACUCCUGCCUUUCCGAUCCACUAGUGAAGUCGAGGCUCCUCACCAGGCCUUUAACACCCGUGACUUUUACCUCCACGUCCGGUAUCCUUCCGUAGUACUUCUCUAACGCCUCCAGUUUGUCGACCGUUUCAGGCUCGUCUGUGUUCUGUUCGAUGAAUUCGGAUAGCGUUUUCCGCAUUUCCUAGACCAAACUAGACCAAAUUAACGUAAUCUGAAACAUAACGUAUUUGCCGAUUGUUACGCCUCCAAAUGCCCAGGAGGUCGCUAUGUCUGAACUCGAACUUGCCUAUAUAAAAUCAAAUUCUUAGAAAACGAGCAAAAUGGGCAAAAGAUACAAACUGACGUUUUUAACUUUUGUCAGAAAUUGUUAAAAAAUGAGUUAUACUCCACGAAUCACAGGAAACACGUUAGAACUUUCUAUUAAAAUAAAUAAAUUAUACAUCCACAUAAAUUGGAUGUUAAGCAACACAAAAAUAGUACAACUACACAUGUAUUAACUACAUACAUUAAGAACUGCAUACUUUGACUUUUAUUUUCCACACUUUACUAUAAUUUAUUAAUGGGUGUGUAUUAACAAUCGUAUCACGUGCAAAAGUAAGCAAAUAAUUUGGCGCGAAUUGCCUUCUUGCAAUCAGCUGUUCAACACUGCACUUUUUUUUAUUUAUAUGAUCAAUUUUCUUUUAGAAAAUAAUUUAUAAAAGACGAUAUAUUGACAUAAAAAUUUAGACUUAUCUAGCAGAAUCUAGCAUAGGUAAGCAAGUAAACCUUUGCACAAUACAUUAAAAAUUAUCACAAUUAUUUUUAUUUGAAAUUAUAUUAUGUUUAAAAAUGUUUUUCUUUUUGAAACAAGUUGAGCAGAGGGAUUGCUGUUUCGCCACUUGAGGUGCACUAUUUGAUAUAAUAUUUAUGGGAUACAUAGAUAUAUGGAAAAGGAAUCUGAGUUUCGCAUAGCAACUGCUUCGCUUUUCUCGGGGAUAUUGCAAAAUCUUGUUGUUUACCCACCUUACUGUAAAACGUUGUGCUGUCCGACCGUUGAUUAUAACCAUUGCCCUCGGCCAUAUAAGUCUUUACCUGUAUUCCCCGCUUCUCGCGACUCACUGCACCGCAGUGCCGCGCAUACCGCCCCCGCCGCCCGUUCCACCGACGACGCCUCCGGACACCGCGGCGGUACCAAUGCCGCCGGCCCUGCCCCGACGCCCAUCUGCUGGCCACUCCUGUCGUCGCAAAUGAUGAUGGUCGCCUGGUUCUGCACCUGAGAUCGCCGCGAGGCGUAUUUCUUCGGGUUGAGCAGGCUGCAAAGAUGGAGGAUAUGCAAGUUGGAUCAAUAAAACAUAUCAAUAUAUAUGGAAAUAAAUCUAUCUCAAUUUCUGAAUCUGUGGCAAAUAUGCAAUAGUCAUCGCGGCUACAUAAAUAAAUCAUAAAUAUUGAGCAUUAUUGAAGAAAUGCACACUAAUAUGGCAUCAGAUCGUGGUGGAGGAGGCGGUUCUUGGAGACUACCACCAGAUGAAACUUUGCAGGUGCAAGAUCCAAAGCAAAAAGAUCAUGAUUUCGAUUUGGAUGAAGGUCACAAUUGGCGAAGUAUAAUCUUUUCAUUGCUUGUUAUAAGCUUUGUAGUAGCUGGCAUCGUCACUGCUAUAUAUUUAUUAGG